CCCCUUUUCUUUUGCCGCAGCAUCCCUAUAUGCGUCCCUGCCGGUUUCGACCGGCUAUGGUGAUAAACUGCGGCGUGCAAUAGGCACAGCGGACCCGGGGGCGGUACCCGGCGGCUCCACCAUCACUACCGUGUUCUUCGGGAUGCGGGCCUUGUUGUCGCAAGGGUGUUGAUGGGGCCGAACUAGGAUCCCUGAAGUUAUAAAGCGAAAGCACGGUUCGGACCGAACCGGGUAACAGAAUCGGAAACCGGGGGCUGGGGGCGAGCCUAGCAACAGAAUCGCCCUAUU
rnacentral:tmRNA from 1 species